UUUAUCUUGCCCACCUAGUCCGCAUCCGAGGGGGAUGUCCGCCCUGGGGGCCCCAGUGAGUCCGACCCCUGGGCUCGGGGUCGGACGAGGCGGAACCUUGGGGCGAGGGGUCGGGCGCCCCCGACCCCGGGGCCGCAGUCGGACGAGGCGGAAGCCUCGUGGAGGAAGGUCGGGCGCUCCCGACCCUGGGACCGCGGUCGGGUGAGGCGGAGCUCUGAUUAGGCUAGGUGGGCCUGGGUCUUUCGCAUCUGCUCUUUUAAGCGGUAUUUAGGGGAUCAUUAAUAUUUGCCCCCAACAAGGAGGCUUAGACACUAAUCCAGCAAGUGAAAAG
rnacentral:lncRNA from 1 species